AUAGAAUUUUCUGGAGCACUGAGCAACUGCUACAACUAAAGAGUUCAGAAAAAUACACUGCAUCAACACCAACAGCUGGAAUGAGUGAGGGUCCAAAUACAAGCACACUUCUCAGCAGCAGCUUUCUGCAGCUCCCACUCCCAUACGCCGACGGUGAGCGCCGAGCGCUUGCGGUGGUGGAUGAGGUAUAGGCUUAAGAGUCUGCAUGCCCUGCUGCGAGUGAGCGAGCUCCGACAGCUCCGCUCCAGCGCCUUUUGUUGUGCAGAUUCUCUCCAAAAGCCCACACUGAGUACUUGUCAAUUGUGCCGAAGUCUUGCAAUCACAAAGAGCGUAACUUUUCAUGACACAGCUCAACAGAUUACUGGUAUAGAGGGAGCCAAGCCCGAAUCCAAAAACCGCAAUCACAGGGCAGGCGAGAGCCGAAUGCAUCUCGAAUGAAUCCCCCUCCCGCUCCGCUUCUUUGCAUAUUGCUCGCCAAACGUGACGCGGAUCGCGGGGUUGCAAGCCUGGUUCUUUCCUCGGGCUCACUAACCUGGAGUGUGAAGGGUAAAAUGAUCUCCAGGGUUCCAGAAGGUCCUUAGCCACAGGGUCAGACCAUGUAGCCACGUCCCACAGCCUCACUCCUGCUUUGCCCCACGUUUCUGUGUCAUAGUUCGCAGCCCCAUCUACUCCUACGUUACAAGAGACCCACACCAAAAGUCACCUUAAAUCGAAGCUUUUCACUUCAGCGCGGUGUUUCUGCAAAACCGUUUCCAUUAUUUUGCAGACCACCUCCUGCUCCUUUGUGUCACUCGCGCCUAUUGUUCCCCAUUGCUCAUUUCCGACUUGCAGAAGUGACUCUGGCUAUGCAGCCCGUUCCUGCUUCCUUUCAGCAGCCCUAAUUCCUUGCCACUGGUCAGCUUUGAUAGCCAAUUAUCUCCCGAGGCUGACCCUGAUACAGGGACCCUGUUCGGGCGCCAUUUGUGGCAAGCGCACUCUGUCGCUGGUGCAGAACGAAGACACGUAUGAGCCCCGAAGAGUGAACGAGUUGUUCUCUCACAAGCGUGUCAAAUUGAAAGUACUGCAGAUCUCAGCCAUGCAAGAUGGUACGCAACUGGAAAUGAACUCUUAAAAAUUACAAAGUGCUCUCUGAUUAGUUAGAAUUAAUGUGAUUUGAGAGCUUAAGAGUCAGCCAACAGAUUGCAGUACAAAAUGUUUUCAAAGGGAACCUGACUGGAGAAAAAGACAUGAUGGAUGAUGAGCUUUGUAGUGCUGUUCAAGAAGGAUCCUCCGCACCAUGGGAGAUAGCCUGUUGGCUGACACACAGAGGGCUGAAGCAAGAUGCUUUGUUACUUGCUUUGUUACUACACACUUGACAACAGUUCCUGCAUUUUCAGAUGGGAAGAAGAAUCAACAACUCCUAGGAAGGAUGAGGAGGAGAGGGAGAAAUAUUACCUUUACCUUUCAGAACAAGAGUUUUUACCUGCACAGCCACUACCAACUGACAGCUGGAUCAAGGUUGAGGAGACAGCUGCAGACAUUUGCAUAUUUCUGUUCUAACUCUUUGCCUGAGGGAACAGUUUCAUGACCAGUUGUCUUACAUCCACCUUACAUUCUGAGUUAUACUAGAAAGAUUUCCCCCUGCUGUGCACUGUCUCCCCAGACCUCGACUUGGAUUUGCAGCAUACUUCAUGAAGCUCUUUGUAAUGCUGUUUGAAGGCAAUAAGGCAAACUCAGUUUUCUUAGUUACCUUGUUUUGUUGUUAGCAGGAAAGGUAGGUAUUAACCCAUUUCAUGUAAAUCUUAUAAACCAGACACAGUACCCUUUCGGGAAAAAGAUGCACUGGUACGGACACCACUAAGUGGGAAGAAUUAUAAGGAACACAUAUUAUUUUGAUUUUUUUUUCCAUUGCUCUUCACUAGAGAUAUUGAAAUAUAUCUAGACAUUUAAUGAUUGUCUCACUCAAGAUGUUAUCAGCAAGAACUGGAUUCUUUGCUGUAAAUAUAAGGAACAGAAAGGCCAGAAAAUAAGGAACAAAUUCUCGAAGACAGAAAAAAUGACAAGAGGUUGAAGAAAGGGUUAGGAAGUGGAUGCACGUCCGUCUAGCUGGAUGAGAGCACAGCAGUAUGCAUCAAGUAUCCCUUUGGCAGUGGCAGAACUGAGUGGCUGUUGAUCAUUUUUUAAUGCCACAGGUAUUUAAUACACCACUGUUCCUUCACAUGUGAUGAACAACUGGAUAUCUUCAUCCCAUCAGUCCGGGCUCCAGUAUCAGUCAUCACAGAGAUUUACAAGAAAAUUUUACUGAGUACUGUGUGGGCUGUAAUUCAGCUACCAAAGGGAAGUGAUUUGCAUUUGAGGAGGUGCUUUCCAAAAUGCAAGCAAAGAAGCAAAAAAAAGUACAUUUAUUUAGCAGUCCUCUAUUUUCAGACUAAACAGCAAUCAAAUGGGUUCUUGGCCAUCUCUUCACCUAUGAUAUACACAUACAUUUUAUUUUUCACUUAAAAUGCAUUUAAUGAUCGUAAGCUACGUACAAAGAAAUAUAAACAGCAAGGAAAGAUAGGCUUGUUUUAUUCUAUAGUUAAAAGAUGUUCACCCUUUAAGUGAAUUUGCUAGAACUUAUUCAUGUAAUAAAAUGAAUUUAUAAAGCAGAAAAUGGGUUUCCCAUACAGUAAAUUAUUUUAUGUAUUUCAAUACUUUUUUCCCUUCUGCUGAGUUGAGCUAUACCACACAGAAUGUACAAUUAAAUAUAAGCCUAGAAGAAGACUAGUUCUAUCACACUAAUAAGUGGUUGUAAUAAUUUUCAAAUAUGCAGGAUGGGAACAUUCAAGUCUUGGCUCUCAUCUGUACAAUAAAUAUCAUUUCCUAUUUCUCCACAUGAGAAAUACAUCCACUUAAACAAUCCCCCUUCAGUUAUUCCAACUGCAUAAAUUGUAUUUAAUUUGAAAAAUCUAAAUUAUUUGUCUUCUAAACAUAAUCAAACUUGUCAGCACUACCAACAGUGAUUUAUUCUCUCUACAUUUCUGUUAUUGUUAAACUUUAUAUUAUUUCCCUGGUUUUUGGUUUUUUGCUUUUUUUUUUUUUUUUUGCUGGUGUCUUCUCUUUCCUGCACACAUCAUAUUGAGUCCUCUAUAAAUUCCCCAAGAACCACUGAGGCUCUUUAUUUUUCCACUUAAGACUCUUUCACUGCUAAUACUGACCUUGAAUGAAUUAGUUGCCAAUUUGCAUUAUUAUUAUAGCUGAGCACUUCUCAAUCCUUUAGUAAAUUCUCUUUUCAUGGUUAUGUGUCUAUAUGACACCAAAGGGAUGCAACUAGAAUUUCAUCUAUUAGAUAUUUAG
ensembl:lncRNA